GACGAACGCUGGCGGCGUGCCUAAUACAUGCAAGUAGAACGCUGAAGGAGGAGCUUGCUUCUCUGGAUGAGUUGCGAACGGGUGAGUAACGCGUAGGUAACCUGCCUGGUAGCGGGGGAUAACUAUUGGAAACGAUAGCUAAUACCGCAUAAGAGUAGAUGUCGCAUGACAUUUGCUUAAAAGGUGCAAUUGCAUCACUACCAGAUGGACCUGCGUUGUAUUAGCUAGUUGGUGAGGUAACGGCUCACCAAGGCAACGAUACAUAGCCGACCUGAGAGGGUGAUCGGCCACACUGGGACUGAGACACGGCCCAGACUCCUACGGGAGGCAGCAGUAGGGAAUCUUCGGCAAUGGACGGAAGUCUGACCGAGCAACGCCGCGUGAGUGAAGAAGGUGUUCGGAUCGUAAAGCUCUGUUGUAAGAGAAGAACGAGUGUGAGAGUGGAAAGUUCACACUGUGACGGUAUCUUACCAGAAAGGGACGGCUAACUACGU
rnacentral:rRNA from 1 species